GCUUAGGAGCCUUUGGCAUUCCUCUCUCCCCGGUAGGGCUCGGCGAGCCCCCCGUCCUCAGCGCGGCCCCACCCUGAGGCCAUCUUCCCUCAGCGCUCUCCUCCAUCCCUGGUUCCUUCUUCCUCUGCGUGGCUGCGCCCUUCCACCCCGCUCCCCUCCCCCCGUUCUUCCCCAUUGCUGCCGCACUUCUCUUUUCCCCCCUUCCUCCCCUUUUCCGCCGCUCUCUCCUCUCCUCCUCGCCCCUCUUCGCCGUCUCCUCAGCCCUGGGCGGGAAGGGCGGCGCGGCGCCCUCAGCAUGGCGGGGUGGAACGACCCCCCCUCCCCCGCGCUCUCCCACCGCCGUUCGAGCCUCCCCUAAAAAAGAAGCGUGUUUGGAGCCGGGAGAGGAGGAGGUGGUGGAAAAAAAGCUGAUCUGCCAGCCACAAGGAUGUGUGCAUCG
rnacentral:lncRNA from 1 species